rnacentral:rRNA from 1 species
UACGUAGGGUGCGAGCGUUGUCCGGAAUUACUGGGCGUAAAGAGCUCAUAGGUGGUUUGUCGCGUUGUUCGUGAAAACUCACAGCUUAACUGUGGGCGUGCGGGCGAUACGGGCAGACUGGAGUACUGCAGGGGAGACUGGAAUUCCUGGUGUAGCGGUGGAAUGCGCAGAUAUCAGGAGGAACACCGGUGGCGAAGGCGGGUCUCUGGGCAGUAACUGACGCUGAGGAGCGAAAGCGUGGGGAGCGAACAGG